GACGAAGGUGGCGAGCGUUGUUCGGAAUCACUGGGCAUAAAGCGUACGUAGGCGGCGCGGUAAGUCGGAUGUGAAAUCCCUCGGCCCAACCGAGGAACUGCGUCCGAUACUGCCGGGCUUGAGACAAGGAGAGGUGCGCGGAAUUCCGGGUGGAGCGGUGAAAUGCGUUGAUAUCCGGAGGAACACCGGCGGCGAAAGCGGCGCACUGGUCUUGUUCUGACGCUGAGGUACGAAAGCCAGGGUAGCAAACGGG
rnacentral:misc_RNA from 1 species